GCAUCCUGUUAAGUCAGGCAACGAGCGAGACCCACGCCCACAGUUGCCAGCGUACUCUCUGGAGUGACGGGUACACUGUGGGGACCGCCGCUGCUAAAGCGGAGGAAGGAAUGGGCAACGGUAGGUCAGUAUGCCCCGAAUAUCCCGGGCUACACGCGAGCUACAAUGGUUGGUACAAUGGGUAUCUACCCGAAAGGGGACGGGAAUCUCCUAAAACCAAUCUUAGUUCGGAUUGAGGGCUGCAACUCGCCCUCAUGAAGCUGGAAUCCGUAGUAAUCGCGUUUCAACAGAACGCGGUGAAUACGUCCCUGCUCCUU
rnacentral:rRNA from 1 species